GGGCCAACACAAGUGGUGGAGCAUGUUGUUUAAUGCGAAAAUACGCGCGAAACCUUACCAGUUCUUGACAGUGUGUUAAGUGACGAAAAAAUAGCUUUUUUGUCCUCUUUAUAGUAAGAAUUUUCACACACAGGUGUUGCAUGGCUGUCGUCAGCUCGUGUUGUGAAAUGUUAGAUUAAUUUCUUAAACGAGCGCAACCCCUACUUUUAGUUGCCAGUGUUUGUUGUUCCAAACAGGAACUCUAAAAGAACUGCUAGUGGAUAAGCUAGAGGAAGGUGGGGAUAACGUCAAGUCCUCAUGGCCCUUAUGAACUGGGCUACAAACGUGCUACAAUGAAAACUACAAAAAGAGCAAUAGUGUUUAAGCUGGAGCAAAUCUCUAAAAGUUUUCUUAGUUCGGAUUGUGGGCUGAAACUCGCCACAUGAAGUUGGAAUCACUAGUAAUCGUAGAUC
rnacentral:rRNA from 1 species